AUUGAACGCUGGCGGCAGGCCUAACACAUGCAAGUCGAACGAGUGGCGGACGGGUGAGUAAUGUCUGGGAAACUGCCCGAUGGAGGGGGAUAACUACUGGAAACGGUAGCUAAUACCGCAUACCAUCGGAUGUGCCCAGAUGGGAUUAGCUAGUAGGUGGGGUAAUGGCUCACCUAGGCGACGAUGCCUAGCUGGUCUGAGAGGAUGACCAGCCACACUGGAACUGAGACACGGUCCAGACUCCGACGGGAGGCAGUAGUGGGGAAUAUUGCGCAAUGGGCGCAAGCCUGAUGCAGCCAUGCCGCGUGUGUGAAGAAGGUCUUCGGGUUGUAAAGUACUUUCAGCGGGGAGGCGUUACCUGCACAGGAAGCACCGGCUAACUCCGUGCCAGCAGCCGCGGUAAUUC
rnacentral:rRNA from 1 species